rnacentral:lncRNA from 1 species
GAAGCAAAAGAUGGAGAGAAAAGGUCUCAGAAGGAUCAACUGUGGAAGGUUUUCCAUUGUCGUUCAUGAAAAGGCAUCACACCAAGAUUCAGCUCUUGGCUUUGAUACAAGAUCUGGCUCCUCUGACUCCAGCAGUGGAUGGCAGCAUAAUAAAUGUGAGCAUUGUGGCACUGAGACUCAGAACUCCCGAAGAGACUGCAGCAAAGACCCUCUGGAAGCAUUUCAUUAUAGAUACAAUACCCCAGGACAGUAUUACUUAAAUCACAGCAGAAGAGAUGCCUUUGUCCAGUCCUGCUCUUUAGAUGAAAAUAAAAAUUCUGCACCUUCUUGUUCAAAACCAAAACAGCUAUGUUCCCAGAAAGUGAAUUCAAUAUCCUUUCAAGAUGAAUGUGAACCUACACUAGGAGAAAGAAAUCUAAAGACUUUUAUGACCUUCAGUGCAGAUCCUGCAAUCCUCCCUCCCCAUUUCCAGUCCUGCAAGAUUUCUGGAAGCAAAUCCUUGUGUGACUUCAAUAGCAUCGAAAAAACAGAAUCUAAGAUUUUAAACUCGGCCUUGGAUCGUGCCCUAAAGACAGCAACCAUUUUGAAAAAAACUACUGAUCAGAUGAUUAAAGUGAUCACAGAAGACCUUGCCAAAGCACAGAGAUGGAGGAAUCAACUGAAAUACUAGUUUGACCUAAGGCAACCAAGCUUGUGGAAGGAAAAAACCAUGUGAAGAGAACUUGAUCAUCACUCUCCCCAAAAGUACCUUGCUUGUUACGCAAUUUAGAAAGAUGUCUUUUCAGAGAAAAAUACUAAAACCAAAAGAGGGCAACACAAAGUGUUUAAAUGGAAAAAAGAAAAAAGAAAAAAAAAAGGGGGAUUUCUGAUUCUUAAACCAAAAGAAACCAAACCAGAACAAUAAAGUUUACUUUUAACCUAUUUCUCUGGAAAAAAUUAAAGAAAGAACUAUUCUCAUAUAUUACUGGUAAAGUAUAAACCAAUGGAACCUUUUUGGAAGAACAUUUGUUAACACAGAUGUUCCUUGGCUUAUGAGAUUUAUAUCCCAGUGAACCCACAGUGAGUCGAAAAUACCAUGUCAAAAAUUCACUUAGUAAACCUAACCUGCUCCACAUCAUUACUCAGCAAAACACUGACAAGUGUCCAUUGUUUCCUGUGUGACUUCGUGGCUGUGGGAGCUGUGGGUGGCUGCCAGUACCCAGCAUCAGAAAGAGUAUUAUCCUCUGACUAGCAGUUCCACCACUAGGAAUUUACAGAUGACUCAGAUCCCCACUACAUGUAGACGGGUCACCGCAUCACUGACAGUGAUACCCUCAAGGGGAACUAAUCUUACACACCCAGUAUAAUGAUUAAUAAAUAAUAAUACUCUGCAACCAGCAGUAUGAGGCAGAUGAUCUAGAAGACAGUGAAAAAAAAAAAAAGAUACCUAACCAUAUACCCAGUGUGGCCUAACUUGUGUAUAUUUUAUUAUAGGGCAUAUAUAUGUCCUGAAAACAUACACAGAAAUCUUGAG